rnacentral:rRNA from 1 species
CGGGAAGCGAGCGUACACAGGUGCUGCAUGGCUGUCGUCAGCUCGUGUCGUGAGAUGGUUGGGUUAACGUCCCGCAACGAGCGCCAACCCCUGCAUUCUAGGUUGCCAGUACGGGUAAUCGGCCGGGCACUCGUAGGAAGGACUGCCAUCGACAAGAUGGAGGAAGGUGGGGAUGACGUCAAGUCAUCAUGGCCCUUAUGUCCAGGGCGACACACGUGCUACAAUGGCCGGCACAACGGGAAGCGAGUUCGCGAGGACGAGCGGAUCCCUCAAAGCCGGUCGCAGUUCGGAUUGAAGUCUGCAACUCGACUUCAUGAAGCUGGAAUCGCUAGUAAUCGUGGAUCAGCCAAGCCGCGGUGAAUACGUUCCGGGCCUU